CCGCAGCCGAAAUAGCUGAAUUGCGUAAAAUUUACCAAACAUAUAAAUUAAUUGCACGUUAUAAAGUCUAUAAACACACACAUAUACACACAUACAAAUACUAACAGUACACAUAUAUACUUACAUACAUCAAAAUCUUUAAGGUUCAAAUUAGACUUAUGUUAUGAAAACAAUUCAUAGCAAACCUACUUCUUUAAAUUAUUUGACAUUGCUGAAAUAUAAAACGAUUGGUGUAGUGUUAAAGCGAAAGUAGUUUGGACGGAAGUGUAUAAGGCGUAUUGCUAUUGAAUGGCGUGUGAGAUUGAGAAGAAUUGUUUUGAGAACUUGGUCG